GCUCAGGAUGAACGCUAGCGGCAGGCCUAAUACAUGCAAGUCGAGGGGUAACAGGAAUAGCAAUAUUUGCUGACGACCGGCGCACGGGUGCGUAACACGUAUGUAAUCUGCCCAUCACUGGAGGAUAGCCCGGAGAAAUCCGGAUUAAUACUCCAUAACAGAAGACAAGGCAUCUUGUUUUUUUGAAAGCUCCGGCGGUGAUGGAUGAACAUGCGACUGAUUAGUUUGUUGGUGAGGUAACGGCUCACCAAGACUUCGAUCAGUAGGGGUACUGAGAGGUUAAACCCCCACACUGGUACUGAGACACGGACCAGACUCCUACGGGAGGCAGCAGUAAGGAAUAUUGGACAAUGGCCGCAAGGCUGAUCCAGCCAUGCCGCGUGCAGGAAGACGGACCUAUGGUUUGUAAACUGCUUUUGAACGGGAGAAAACCCCCCUACGUGUAGGGGGCUGAUAGUACCGUUAGAAUAAGCAUCGGCUAACUUCGUGCCAGCAGCCGCGGUAAGACGAAGGAUGCAAGCGUUAUCCGGAUUCAUUGGGUUUAAAGGGAGCGUAGGCGGACUUGUAAGUCAGUGGUGAAAUCUGUGGGCUUAACCCACAAACUGCCAUUGAUACUGCAGGUCUAGAGUACAGUUGCCGUUGGCGGAAUAUGACAUGUAGUGGUGAAAUACUUAGAUAUGUCAUAGAACACCGAUUGCGAAGGCAGCUAACGAAGCUGUAACUGACGCUGAGGCUCGAAAGUGCGGGGAUCAAACAGGAUUAGAUACCCUGGUAGUCCGCACUGUAAACGAUGAUUACUCGUUGCUGGGGAGCAAUUUCCAGUGACCAAGCGAAAGCGAUAAGUAA
rnacentral:rRNA from 1 species